rnacentral:rRNA from 1 species
GUACACGCUGUGACUAGCAUAUCAAUAAGCGGAGGAAAAGAAACUAACAAGGAUUCCCCUAGUAACGGCGAGUGAAGCGGGAAGAGCUCAAAUUUGAAAUCUUAAAGGGUUUCCCUUUACGAAUUGUAGUUUAAAGAAGUGUUUUCUGUUGAGGUUUUGGUAAAAGUUCUUUGGAAUAGGACAUCAUAGAGGGUGAGAAUCCCGUAUUUGACCUUUACUUUCAACUUUGUGAUACACUUUCAAAGAGUCGGAUUGUUUGGGAAUGCAGUCCUAAAUGGGUGGUAAAUUUCAUCUAAAGCUAAAUAUUGGCGAGAGACCGAUAGCGAACAAGUACCGUGAGGGAAAGAUGAAAAGAACUUUGAAAAGAGAGUUAAACAGUACGUGAAAUUGUCAAAAGGGAAGCGUUUGACACCAGUGUUGUUUUUCUGAAAAUCAAUUAAAGAACUGUUUAUGCUAAGCUUGUUUAGACUUUAUCAGCUAUCUGUUUAGUUUUGAGCUUUUCUUUAAUGCACUUUUCAGUUAACAAGUCAACAUCAAUUUCUUUUGCUGUAAAAAAGCUUGAGGAAGGUGGCUUGAGAUUCGUCUUAAGUGUUUAUAGCCUCUUGCCUAUGCAGUCGGAGAGAUUGAGGUCUGCAGCGUAGAUCCUUCGGGGCUAAAUGCAUUUGUGCUAAGUUAUAGCAUUUUAUAGACAACUUGUUGACUAUGAUUUGUCUUGUAGCUUACUCGCUUAUGUUAUUUUACCUACGCUUAGGAUGUUGACGCGCGUGUGUGCGUG